rnacentral:tRNA from 1 species
UGCGGGGUGGAGAAGUCUGGUCUAUCUCGGGUGGCUCAUAACCACCAGGUCGGGGGUUCAAAUCCCUCUCCCGCUAC